UACGGGGGGGGCAAGCGUUGUUCGGAAUUACUGGGCGUAAAGGGCUCGUAGGCGGCUUUGUAAGUCGGACGUGAAAUCCCCAGGCUCAACCUGGGAACUGCGUCCGAUACUGGAUGGCUUGAAUUCGGGAGAGGGAUGCAGAAUUCCAGGUGUAGCGGUGAAAUGCGUAGAUAUCUGGAGGAAUACCGGUGGCGAAGGCGGCAUCCUGGACCGACAUUGACGCUGAUGAGCGAAAGCCAGGGGAGCAAACGGG
rnacentral:rRNA from 1 species